rnacentral:rRNA from 1 species
CGUGCUUAACACAUGCAAGUCGAACGAACCUUCGGGUUAGUGGCGGACGGGUGAGUAACGCGUGGGAAUCUGCCCUCAGGAGGGGGAUAACGGUUGGAAACGACCGCUAAUACCCCAUAUGCCGAGAGGUGAAAUGAAUUUCGCCUGAGGAUGAGCCCGCGUCUGAUUAGCUUGUUGGUGAGGUAAUGGCUCACCAAGGCAUCGAUCAGUAGCUGGUCUGAGAGGAUGAUCAGCCACACUGGGACUGAGACACGGCCCAGACUCCUACGGGAGGCAGCAGUGGGGAAUUUUCCGCAAUGGGCGAAAGCCUGACGGAGCAACGCCGCGUGAGGGACGAAGGCCUCUGGGCUGUAAACCUCUUUUCUCAAGGAAGAAGAUAUGACGGUACUUGAGGAAUAAGCCACGGCUAAUUCCGUGCCAGCAGCCGCGGUAAUACGGGAGUGGCAAGCGUUAUCCGGAAUUAUUGGGCGUAAAGCGUCCGCAGGCGGCCUUUCAAGUCUGCUGUUAAAGCGUGGAGCUUAACUCCAUCAUGGCAGUGGAAACUGAUUGGCUUGAGUAUGGUAGGGGCAGAGGGAAUUCCCGGUGUAGCGGUGAAAUGCGUAGAUAUCGGGAAGAACACCAGUGGCGAAGGCGCUCUGCUGGGCCAUUACUGACGCUCAUGGACGAAAGCCAGGGGAGCGAAAGGGAUUAGAUACCCCUGUAGUCCUGGCCGUAAACGAUGAACACUAGGUGUCGGGGGAAUCGACCCCUUCGGUGUCGUA